rnacentral:rRNA from 1 species
GACAGAGGCCCCAAGCGUUAGGCGGAAUCACUGGGCUUAAAGCGUGUGUAGGUGGACGCCUAAGUGUCUUGUGAAAUCCCACGGCUCACCCGUGGAACUGCUGGGCAUACUGGGCGUCUUGGGCCAACUAGGGGCAGCCGGAACAAGCGGUGGAGCGGUGAAAUGCGUAGAUAUCGCUUGGAACGCCGAAGGUGAAAACAGGCUGCUGGGGUUGCGCCGACGCUGAGACACGAAAGCCAGGGGAGCAAACGGG